AACGAACGCUGGCGGCAUGCCUAACACAUGCAAGUCGAACGAUCCCUUCGGGGAUAGUGGCGCACGGGUGCGUAACGCGUGGGAACCUGCCCUUAGGUUCGGAAUAACUCAGAGAAAUUUGAGCUAAUACCGGAUAAUGUCUUCGGACCAAAGAUUUAUCGCCUUUGGAUGGGCCCGCGUUGGAUUAGCUAGUUGGUGGGGUAAAGGCCUACCAAGGCGACGAUCCAUAGCUGGUCUGAGAGGAUGAUCAGCCACACUGGGACUGAGACACGGCCCAGACUCCUACGGGAGGCAGCAGUGGGGAAUAUUGGACAAUGGGCGAAAGCCUGAUCCAGCAAUGCCGCGUGAGUGAUGAAGGCCUUAGGGUUGUAAAGCUCUUUUACCCGGGAAGAUAAUGACAGUACCGGGAGAAUAAGCCCCGGCUAACUCCGUG
rnacentral:rRNA from 1 species